AUGGAGGAGCCUGGUACGGCCUCAGCACUGCAGGGGUCAGACAACACUGGGACCAGGGCCUGGGAAAGCUCACCUUUGCCUGCAUCAAUAGGAUCCCUGUCAAGUCCCUGUGAAAUCCAGAGAUGGGGACCCAGAGUACCUAGUCAAAAUCAACGGCAGAGUGCUAUCCAAAGAGGAAUCUUUCAAAGGAAACAAAAGCCAGCUAUUAACUACAGGAAAGAAAAUGAUGUGCUUAGAUGCCUGCUGUUUGGACCCUGGAGUUCCUUCAUCUGUGUUCAUUCAUUCACUCCCUCCUUUGAUCAACCAACCGACAAUGGUGAGUGACAGAGCCUCUCACAUCCUGAAGCAGUUAGAGACCAGAGCUCAGCUCUGUAUAGCAUAGUCUUUGAGGUGGGCAGGAAGCAAGGCAAGGGCUAUAUGAGGACCACUCCCUUCCCCGGCCAUCAGAACCAGCUAACCAGCAGGAGCAGGGAACAGAAAUGCCUCCAGGAAGAGCUAUUGUGGCCACCAAAGCUGAACCCGGAAGGAGAAGCCACAGAGAAGGAACAGGCCUUUCCAGAGAGA
rnacentral:lncRNA from 1 species